AAAAGUUAUGACAGGGAGUCAGGCUGUAGCGCAGCGGGUUAAGCGCAGGUGGCGCAAAGCACAAGGACCAGCAUAAGGAUCCUGGUUCGAACCCUGGCUCCCCACCUGCAGGGGAGUCGCUUCACAGGCGGUGAAGCAGGUCUGCAGGUGUCUAUCUUUCUCUCCUCCUCUUUGUCUUCCCCUCCUCUCUCCAUUUCUCUCUGUCCUAUCCAACAACGACAACAACAAUAAUAACUACAACAAUAAAACAACAAGGGCAACAAAAGGGAAUAAAUAAAUAAAAUAAAUAUUAAAAAAAAUUAUUAAUUGAUUAAUACUUUUGGUUGUUACUGGAGCUUUACCACUCCAGGGCAACUUUUUCUGAUAGGAACAGAGACAAGAGAGACAGAAAGAAGCCACAAGCACUGAAGCUUCUUUCAGUGUGGUGGGAAACUGGCUCAGCCCUAGGUUGUGUUCAUAACAAAGUAAACUAGCUAUCUUGCCAGCCGUCUCCUUCCUCCCUCCCUCCCUCUCUCCCUUCCUUUCUUCCUUCAUUUCUCUCUUUCUUUUUUUGGUGUUUUAGUAUUAGUUUACAAAAUUACAAGAUAACAGGUAUAAUUCCACACCAUUCCCACCAGAGUUUUGUGUCCCCAUUCCUUCCAUUGGAAACUAUAGUGGUUCUGUAGUUUCUGUAGAUAAGAAUUGACUAUUAUUUCUAUAACUCUCAUCUAUCCGUCUGUCUAUAUUUCUGCCCAUUUUUUUCAAUGGUCCUGCCUUCUCUUCCUUUCUAAGUCACCCCUAAACUUAUAACUACUUAUGAAUGUCUUUCCUCUUUUAUUCUAUCUGGCUCCUGAUGGAAUUGGUUUCAGAGCUUUCUAUUCAUCUUCCCCUAACAUUUCUCCCCCUCUGUGAGUAUAAACCAAAAUUCUUUAUGAGAUGCAGAAGGUGGGAGUUCUGGCUUCUGUAAUUGCUUCUCCUCUGGACAUAGCCCUCUCUUGUUGAUAAAUUCAAUUCACUGUGUGUA